CUUCAGUGAACACAAACUCUGAGAAGUUAUGCUUUAUCUUGGAUAAAAAGCCUUGCUUGAAAGCAGCAAAAUACACUCGGAUUCAAACUGCCUCUGUCUGUUUCUGUUUGUCACCACCAAAUCCUUCCCCACCUAGUCUUGGAAAUCCUCAUCCUAGGGACCACUAUACCUGGCUGGGGUGGUCUGUGGCAGCAGGUGCCCAAUGUGGGGCUUGAAGUAGCUAAAAGAGAUAUCUACAAGCUUCAAUUAAAAAAGAAAGAGAGAGAUGCCACACCAAACCCAGUAGAUUCUGUGUAACAAAUUCCACAGACUGAGGCAAUAACUUCAAAAGAAGGCGGUCUCCUGGAACCAUCGUGGAACUCUCAGGUGGAGAAAAAUAUUGAGCCAUAGUUCUCAUGACAAUCUCUGUUCCUCUAUUCUUUUCUCAUAUUAGUGAAAUGUUACGCUGACAUCUUAAACAAAAGAUACAAAUGAGAAACUGUCCCCUGAUAUGUGGUCACUGACCAUGACCUCCUCUCCGGGAAAACCAUCCCUUUUCCAAUCAUUCACAUCAUUCACAUAAGUACAAAUGGUAUUGAUGAAAACUUUCCCAACAAUAAAAUUUCAUAUAGUUGUACAUGUGUAAUUGAGAGUGGUUUUAAUGUUUGGUAAAGAAAGGUUCUUAAUAAGAAAAAGUCAAAGGAGAUCAAUAUUCAAAGACUCACAAAAACUAGCAGAUAUCAAACAAUUGUGAACUAGGUAACAGAAUUCAAACAAUAACUGACCAUAAAAGUGUAUUAACCUGAUCUUAGAAACAGGAAGUUAACCUUGAAUGAUUUUCUGAUUUAUUGUUAGCCUUGGAUAAGUUGUGUGUUACUGUGCCUAGUAACAAUGAUGUCAUUUGUUCUGUCUGGGUUUGUUCACUGAACACAAACUCUGAGAAGCUAUGCUUUAUCUUGGAUAAAAAGCCUUGCUUGAAAGCUGCAAAAUACAUUUGGAUUCAAACUGCCUCUGACUCUGUUUGUCACUGCCGCCGAAUCCUUCACCACCUAGUCUUCAACAACCCUCAUCUCAGGGACCCCCAUACGUGGCUGGGGUGGUCCAUGGCAUCAAAGCCAGCAAGCACCAAAUCAAAC
rnacentral:lncRNA from 1 species